rnacentral:pre_miRNA from 1 species
AGGAGGAACAAGCACAGUGGCUGCGGCCAGCUUUCCAGCCCUGGAUUCAGCCCCCGCAGUAAAUACGGAGUUCUCUGUCUGCAGGGCCUGGAGGCUCCGGGGCGGG